rnacentral:rRNA from 1 species
UGGGGAAUAUUGGACAAUGGGCGAAAGCCUGAUCCAGCCAUGCCGCGUGUGUGAAGAAGGUCUUCGGAUUGUAAAGCACUUUAAGUUGGGAGGAAGGGCAGUAAGCGAAUACCUUGCUGUUUUGACGUUACCGACAGAAUAAGCACCGGCUAACUCUGUGCCAGCAGCCGCGGUAAUACAGAGGGUGCAAGCGUUAAUCGGAAUUACUGGGCGUAAAGCGCGCGUAGGUGGUUCGUUAAGUUGAAUGUGAAAGCCCCGGGCUCAACCUAGGAACGGCAUCCAAAACUGGCGGGCUAGAGUAAGGCAGAGGGUGGUGGAAUGUCCUGUGUAGCGGUGAGAUGCGUAGGUAUAGGAAGGAACACCAGUGGCGAAGGAGACCACCUGGGCUCAUACUGACACUGAGGUGCGAAAGCGUGGGGAGCAAACAGG